CAGGGUAUAGCUCAGUGGUAGGGCACAUGCUUAGCAUGCACGAGGUCCUGGGUUCAAUCUCCAGUACCUUCA
rnacentral:tRNA from 1 species